rnacentral:rRNA from 1 species
GACGAACGCUGGCGGCGUGCUUAACACAUGCAAGUCGAACGAUGAAGAAAAGAAUUGAAGCUUCGGCAGAAAUUCAUUUCGGAUUAGUGGCAGACGGGUGAGUAACGCGUGAGCAACCUACCUCUUACAAAGGGAUAGCCUCGGGAAACCGGGAUUAAUACCAUAUAACAUUGCGACGAAGCAUUUCGAUGCAAUCAAAGCUACGGCGGUAAGAGAUGGGCUCGCGUCCCAUUAACCAGAUGGUGAGGUAACGGCUCACCAUAGUAACGAUGGGUAACCGGGCUGAGAGGGUGAACGGUCACACUGGAACUGAGACACGGUCCAGACUCCUACGGGAGGCAGCAGUGGGGAAUAUUGCACAAUGGAGGGAACUCUGAUGCGGCGACGCCGCGUGAGUGAUGAAGGAAUUCGUUUCGUAAAACUCUGUUCUAUGGGAAGAAAAGGACUGUACCAUAGGAGAAAGCUCCGGCUAAAUACGUG